rnacentral:rRNA from 1 species
UUUACGAAGAGUUUGAUCCUGGCUCAGGAUGAACGCUGGCGGUGCGCCUAACACAUGCAAGUCGAGCGAGAUUGAUUUUGAGUUUACUUAGAAUCUUGACAGCGGCGGACGAGUGAGUAACACGUAAGAACUUGCCCUAUACUCAGGGACAACCGGCCGAAAGGUCGGCUAAUACCGGAUGGUCUCGAAAGAGUAAAGCUACGGCGGUAUAGGAGAGGCUUGCGGUUUAUCAGCUAGUUGGUAAGGUAAUGGCUUACCAAGGCUAUGACGAAUACCUGGUGUGAGAGCAUGACCAGGCACGAUGGGACUGAGACACGGCCCAUACUCCUACGGGAGGCAGCAGUGAGGAAUCUUCCGCAAUGGGCGAAAGCCUGACGGAGCGACACCGCGUGGUGGAUGACACCCUUCGGGGCGUAAACACCUUUUCUGAGAGAGGAAAAUCUGACGUUAUCUCAGGAAUAAGGACCGGCUAAUUACGUGCCAGCAGCCGCGGUAAUACGUAAGGUCCAAGCGUUAUCCGGAAUUAUUGGGCGUAAAGCGUCCGCAGGUGGUUUGUUAAGUUGAUUAUGAAAUACCGGAGCUUAACUUCGGUGCUGUAGUCAAAACUGGCAAACUAGAGGAAUGGAGAGGUCUGUGGAAUUCUACAAGUAGGGGUAAAAUCCGUAGAUAUGUAGAGGAACACCAAAAGCGAAGGCAGCAGACUGGACAUUUCCUGACACUCAUGGACGAAAGCGUGGGGAGCGAAAGGGAUUAGAUACCCCUGUAGUCCACGCCGUAAACGAUGUAUGCUCGGUGUAGGGACCCUUGACUUGGUCUCUGUGCCUAAGGUAACCCGAUAAGCAUACCGCCUGUGUAGUACGAUCGCAAGAUUAAAACACAAAGGAAUAGACGGGGACCCACACAAGCGGUGGAUCGCGGGGUUUAAUUCGUCAAUAAGCGGAUAACCUUACCCAGACUUGACAUCCUAGUCGUACCUUCUAGAAAUAGAGGGGUCAAUUCGGUUGGACUAGUGACAGGCGCUGCAUGGUUGUCGUCAGCUCGUGCCUUGAGGUGUGCGGUUAAUUCCGUGAACGAGCGCAACCCUCGUCGUAUGUUAUAUUUUCAUGCGAGACUGCCUGGUAUAACCGGGAGGAAGGAGAGGAUGACGUCAAAUCAGCAUGGCCCUUAUGUCUGGGGCUACACCCACGAUACAAUGGCAAGUACAAACUGAAGCAAUACGGCGACGUGGAGCAAAUCGGAAAAAGCUUGUCUCAGUUCGGAUUGAAGUCUGCAACUCGACUUCAUGAAGUUGGAAUCGCUAGUAAACGUGUAUCAGUCAUGGCACGUUGAAUAUGUUCCUGGGUCUUGUACUCACCGCCCGUCAAGGCAUGGAAGCUGGGGGCGCCCAAAGUCUGCAUAGUAAUUGUGGCCUAAGGUGAAACCAGUAACUGGGCUUAAGUCGUAACAAGGUAUCCGUACGGGAAUGUGCGGAUGGAAUACCGCCU